rnacentral:lncRNA from 1 species
UAUAUAUUUAUAGAAUUGAGCUCAUAUGCUUUAAAAGUACCAAAUUAUUGGUAUUUGUAGAUUUUUGACUAUUGGAUUAAGAGAUGUGUGGUUAAGAUGAUGUGGGACUCCUAGGGUUACGUGGUUGGUUGGUUGAAUAGUAUGAUCUAACGGGUGGAAAUGAUUAAAAUGGUAGAUCUAACGAUAAAAAAUUUACAAGCACCAAGUGCUUGGUACUUUUAUAAGCAUAUAGUCAGCUAUAU